GGCGGGUGAUGAAUGGAAACUUCCUGACAUUUCAAGCGACAACAUCUGAAAGGAAAUGGAAUUUUCCUGAAGCACAGGCAGGAGGUCCCCGUCACAAGCUAUUGAUUUGGCUGGAAAUGGAAUAAGACAGUAACCCAGCCUCAACCAGAGAUGAAGCCAACACUGUAGGAAUGGUGCAAAAACAAGUUGGAAGUCACAUGGGGUGCCCUGUGGAGCAGAGCCACCCCACUCACCUGACUACAUUCCUCUGGACUAUUAGAUGGGAAAACUGGAGCCCAAAGGAUGGAAAUACUGAACCCAUGGGCUCUGUCACUAGACUGCAUCCCAGGGCCUCAACAUAAUAUAUUCUUAAUCAUACUGGGGUAACCUAUUAGAAAGAACCCUGUCCUGGAAUCCUGGAAAAGAGGCCCUGCUAGGAGCUGACCUUGGACAAAUCACUCCCUUCUCUGAACCUCACUGUUCAGGGGGCUGAGAACAGAGGGUCCCUAAGGAAGAGUGUUGUAUGAGAACAGUCUCCGCUCUUGACCCAAGCAAACCUGGCUUCAAAUCUCAACUCCUGUGGCUGACUAGCUGUAUGACCUUGACCUUUCUCAGUUUCCUCAUCUAUAAAGCAGGAUUAAUAAAAGGAGCUGUUCUAUUCAGAGGUGGGAAGAGGCAGCACCAAAGCCAGGAUGCCCUCAUUCAAUUGGGAAAGGAAGGAACCAGGAGCAGAAGGAGGUAAUCACUUUGAAUCAAGUUAAUCAGAGAAGGUUAAAUACCAUAAAGAGGCGUGAGCAACUGCAAAGCUGCUUUUGCUCAUGUGGUAAAAGUACAGGGGCUGAAAAUGGGCCCACUGAGAACAGCUCUUUUCUGACAGUGCCUCUGGAGAAGGAAU
rnacentral:lncRNA from 10 species